rnacentral:rRNA from 1 species
UGGGGAAUUUUGGACAAUGGGCGCAAGCCUGAUCCAGCAAUGCCGCGUGCAGGAUGAAGGCCUUCGGGUUGUAAACUGCUUUUGUACGGAGCGAAAAGGUCUGCCCUAAUACGGUGGGCUCAUGACGGUACCGUAAGAAUAAGCACCGGCUAACUACGUGCCAGCAGCCGCGGUAAUACGUAGGGUGCGAGCGUUAAUCGGAAUUACUGGGCGUAAAGCGUGCGCAGGCGGUUAUAUAAGACAGAGGUGAAAUCCCCGGGCUCAACCUGGGACCUGCAUUUGAUACUGUAUAGCUAGAGUACGGUAGAGGGGGAUGGAAUUCCGCGUGUAGCAGUGAAAUGCGUAGAUAUGCGGAGGAACACCGAUGGCGAAGGCAAUCCCCUGGACCUGUACUGACGCUCAUGCACGAAAGCGUGGGGAGCAAACA